rnacentral:sRNA from 1 species
UACAUUGAGAAUCAGUGUGUCCAGGCCU